rnacentral:rRNA from 1 species
GCCUACCAUGGUUUUAACGGGUAACGGGGAAUUAGGGUUCGAUUCCGGAGAGGGAGCCUGAGAAACGGCUACCACAUCCAAGGAAGGCAGCAGGCGCGCAAAUUACCCAAUCCCGACACGGGGAGGUAGUGACAAUAAAUAACAAUACAGGGCUCUUACGGGUCUUGUAAUUGGAAUGAGUACAAUUUAAAUCCCUUAACGAGGAACAAUUGGAGGGCAAGUCUGGUGCCAGCAGCCGCGGUAAUUCCAGCUCCAAUAGCGUAUAUUAAAGUUGUUGCAGUUAAAAAGCUCGUAGUUGAAUUUCGGGAUUCUACCGUUGGUCGGACUAACAAGUCUGCACUGGUGUGUAGAAUUUCUACCUUCUGGGGAACUAUCAUGUUAUUAAUUUAGCGUGGUGGGAAACCAGGACCUUUACCUUGAAAAAAUUAGAGUGUUCAAAGCAGGCUUACGUCUGAAUACAUUAGCAUGGAAUAAUAGAAUAGGACGGUGGUCCUGUUUUGUUGGUUUCUGAAUCACCGUAAUGAUUAAUAGGGAUAGUUGGGGGCAUUAGUAUUCAAUUGUCAGAGGUGAAAUUCUUGGAUUUAUUGAAGACUAACUUCUGCGAAAGCAUUUGCCAAGGAUGUUUUCAUUAAUCAAGAACGAAAGUUAGGGGAUCGAAGACGAUCAGAUACCGUCGUA